rnacentral:rRNA from 1 species
CCUACGGGGGGCAGCAGUGAGGAAUAUUGGUCAAUGGCCGAGAGGCUGAACCAGCCAAGUCGCGUGAGGGAAGACGGCCCUACGGGUUGUAAACCUCUUUUGUCGGGGAGCAAAGAGAGUCACGUGUGACUCAUUGAGAGUACCCGAAGAAAAAGCAUCGGCUAACUCCGUGCCAGCAGCCGCGGUAAUACGGAGGAUGCGAGCGUUAUCCGGAUUUAUUGGGUGUAAAGGGCGUGUAGCCGGGAAGGCAAGUCAGAUGUGAAAUCCGGAGGCUCAACCUCCGAAUUGCAUUUGAAACUGUUUUUCUUGAGUACUGGAGAGGCAGACGGAAUUCCUUGUGUAGCGGUGAAAUGCGUAGAUAUAAGGAGGAACACCAGUGGCGAAGGCGGUCUGCUGGACAGCAACUGACGGUGAGGCGCGAAAGCGUGGGGAGCAAACAGGAUUAGAUACCCCGGUAGUC